UGUUGGAUUAAUAACCUAAUUAAAGCAAAAUUUAAAAAAGGAAGUCUGUUCGACUUUUAAAAAAUUACAUGAUUUGAGUUCAGACCGGUGUAAGCCAGGUCGGUUUCUAUCUUUUAUAAAAUUUAUAGCAGUACGAAAGGACCUUAUAAAAUAUUAUU
rnacentral:rRNA from 1 species